rnacentral:rRNA from 1 species
UACGAAGGGGGCUAGCGUUGUUCGGAAUCACUGGGCGUAAAGCGCACGUAGGCGGCUUCUUAAGUCAGGGGUGAAAUCCUGGAGCUCAACUCCAGAACUGCCUUUGAUACUGAGAGGCUCGAGUCCGGAAGAGGUGAGUGGAACUGCGAGUGUAGAGGUGAAAUUCGUAGAUACUCGGAAGAACACCAGUGGCGAAGGCGACUCACUGGACACGUAUUGACGCUGAGGUGCGAAAGCGUGGGGAGCAAACAGG